CGCAGCCGCGGUAAUUCCAGCUCCAAUAGCGUAUAUUAAAGUUGUUGCAGUUAAAAAGCUCGUAGUUGAAUUUCGGGAUCAAUAUGUCGGUCGUGCCUUCGGUACGUACUGGUAUCAUUGGUCUCUCCUUUCUGACGAACCAUGAUGUCAUUAAUUUGGUGUUAUGGGGAGUUAGGACUGUUACUUUGAAAAAAUUAGAGUGUUUAAAGCAAGCUAACGCUUGAAUACAUUAGCAUGGAAUAAUGAAAUAGGACGUUCGAUCCUAUUUUGUUGGUUUCUAGGAUUGACGUAAUGAUUAAUAGGGAUAGUUGGGGGCAUUAGUAUUCAAUUGUCAGAGGUGAAAUUCUUGGAUUUAUUGAAGACUAACUGCUGCGAAAGCAUUUGCCAAGGAUGUUUUCAUUAAUCAAGAACGAAAGUUAGGGGAUCGAAGACGAUCAGAUACCGUCGUAGUCUUAACCAUAAACUAUGCCGACUAGGGAUCGGAUGAUGUUAAUUUUUAAUGACUCAUUCGGCGCCUUAA
rnacentral:rRNA from 1 species